GACGAACGCUGGCGGCGUGCCUAAUACAUGCAAGUAGAACGCACAGUUUAUACCGUAGCUUGCUACACCAUAAACUGUGAGUUGCGAACGGGUGAGUAACGCGUAGGUAACCUGCCUGGUAGCGGGGGAUAACUAUUGGAAACGAUCGCUAAUACCGCAUAAUAUUGAUUAUUGCAUGAUAAUUGAUUGAAAGAUGCUAUUGCAUCACUACCAGAUGGACCUGCGUUGUAUUAGCUAGUAGGUGAGGUAACGGCUCACCUAGGCGACGAUACAUAGCCGACCUGAGAGGGUGAUCGGCCACACUGGGACUGAGACACGGCCCAGACUCCUACGGGAGGCAGCAGUAGGGAAUCUUCGGCAAUGGACGAAAGUCUGACCGAGCAACGCCGCGUGAGUGAAGAAGGUUUUCGGAUCGUAAAGCUCUGUUGUAAGAGAAGAACGGGUGUGAGAGUGGAAAGUUCACACUGUGACGGUAUCUUACCAGAAAGGGACGGCUAACUACGUG
rnacentral:rRNA from 1 species